rnacentral:tRNA from 1 species
UCCCUGGUGGUUUAGUGGUUAAAACUCUGAGCUUUCACUGCAGGGGGUAUGGGUUCAAACCCUGGUCAGGGAA